GACGAACGCUGGCGGGGUGCCUAACACAUGCAAGUUGAGCGACGAACCAGGGCUUGCCCUGGGGCAAAGCAGCGAACGGGUGAGUAACACGUGGGUAACCUACCCCGAUAACCGGGACAACCCGAGGAAACUCGGGCUAAUACCGGAUGUGCUCACUGGACUUCGGUUCAGUGCGUAAAGGAAGCUUCGGCCUCCGUAUCGGGAGGGGCCCGCGGCCCAUUAGUUUGUUGGUGAGGUAACGGCUCACCAAGACCGCGAUGGGUAGCUGGUCUGAGAGGACGAUCAGCCACACUGGGACUGAGACACGGCCCAGACUCCUACGGGAGGCAGCAGUGGGGAAUCUUGCGCAAUGCGCGAAAGCGUGACGCAGCAACGCCGCGUGGGGGAAGAAGGCCUUCGGGUUGUAAACCCCUUUCAGGAGGGACGAAGGUUCGGCGGUGAAUAGCCGUCCGGACUGACGGUACCUCCACAAGAAGCCCCGGCUAACUACGUG
rnacentral:rRNA from 1 species